GUGGGGAAUCUUGCACAAUGGGGGCAACCCUGAUGCAGCGACGCCGCGUGAGCGAUGAAGCCCUUCGGGGCGUAAAGCUCUUUCGACCGGAACGAUAAUGACGGUACCGGGAGAAGAAGCUGCGGCUAACUACGUGCCAGCAGCCGCGGUAAUACGUAGGCAGCAAGCGUUGUUCGGAGUUACUGGGCGUAAAGAGUGCGUAGGCGGUUUUCUAAGUUCGGUGUGAAAUCUCCCGGCUUAACUGGGAGGGUGCGCCGAAGACUGGGAAGCUGGAGUGUGGGAAAGGCAUGCGGCAUUCCUGGUGUAGCGGUGAAAUGCGUAGAUAUCAGGAGGAACACCGGCGGUGUAGACGGCUUGCUAGACCAUAACUGACGCUGAGGCACGAAAGCGUGGGUAGCAAACAG
rnacentral:rRNA from 1 species